GUACGUGCCCUUGGCGGGAAUCGAGUCCAGGACUGUUUGGUCCACAAGCCAACACUCUGUCCACUGAGCCAAACCGGCCAGGGCUCAGUCUGAGCUUGUAAAUCACAGCAGGUCCCCUGCCGCACCGCCUUUUUGGUUUCUCAGGACACCGAGUCUUUUGAAGAAGGGACUCGGGUUGUCUUUGAGAGUGGCUUCUGUGCUCGCUGUCACCUCCGGUUACAUCAAGGGCCCCAUUGAAAGGUCCCUAUGCACACGCAUCACUUUAUAGACAAACAAACAAAAAACAAACGGAGCUGGCAUUUGUUUACAGUUUUUUAAAAAAGGCCACUUUCUCUCUCAGGCGCCUCGGGCGGAAGCUUGAUGCCUCCCCAUUAAGGGGGUCAGCGUGUGCUGGCUGCGUGUUCCCUACACACGACACUCCGGGAAGCAGGUUCACGCCUCUCCCGGGGAGGCACCCAUUCCACAGCGUUUCCUUGCACACUCGCUCCCAUCGGGAACCUGUUCCCUCAUCUGGCGGAGACAUUCUGUCCGUGCAGGUCCUGUGUCAGUGAUCUGGACCCCAAACGGGAGUGGCUCCUGCGCAGAGCCCUGGGGAGCCGACAGGACGGGGAGCGCUGGGGGCCGGGGUGCUGGGCCCAUCUGCCGCUGACCCCCCACCCCUCCUGGGACCCUGAGCAAGCCCUUCUUAUCUAUCAGAAGAGGAGGGCAGAACAAGUAGAUAGUGAAAAUCAUCUGAGACACCAGCCUAAUUUAAACACAAAAGAAACCCCCGAAGCAUUCUCCGGACAGGGAGGCGCUCCACAAACAUUGACCGAGUGUCAUGGUGAGGGGUUCCGGACAUGCAACCCUGGAGCAUGGAUUGUUCUGAGCGGAAAGCACUAGAAAACGGCAAAGGCGGGGGAGGCUUACUGCCUCCUCCUCUGCCUGGAGCCUGACCCUCCUGGAGGGACUUGUUAUCACAAACCCCCGCCCCAGGAAUGCCAGCAGCCGGAGCCUCAGCACCACACCCAGGCCAACUGUCAGUCUGGGCCCGCUCCCAGCCAGUCUUCUCAGCCCCUUCAACUCCCCUAAAACGUACGCUCCCCCACGUUGGCUGCCUGCCCUCCCCUUCCUGGUAGGGGGGUAUAUGAGCUCUGGAAUCUCACCGAUUUAUUAUUCACUUUUUUCUGGCGAUGCUCCCGUACAAGUAUUAAACAUGAAUACAUGUCUACCCUCUCCGUCCCUCCGCCUGUGGUCAGCUUACCCCGCAGGCCCAGCUGGAGCCUAGGAGGGAAGAGGGGUGUUCUUGCUCCCCUUCAGGGCACUCUCUAGCUUCGACCUGUGCGUGGUACCCCGUUACCUCUAUUGCUGGUGUGAUUCCCUCCCAAUUGCCCCUGCUAGGAGAAGGAACAAAGAGAUGGCGAGCCCUGGCCUUGGCCUGGCGAUGUGUCUCACCCAGCACUCCGCAGGUAUUACGGAAACAUCCCACUUUCUCUCCCUUUGCUUGGCAGCCAUGGCUUCUGGCCCCAGUGAUCUGAGUCUGCGAAUACUUACCUGGCUUAACUGACAGAUAUCCUGAAGGUGAUCACUUCCGUUGCACAUGACUCAGUUUUGCUUGAACUUCCUGUAUAAAAGCCUCCCCUCCCGAAUCCUGGGGAUAACGUUACAACAGCGCUCCUUUCAGAUCACACGGGAUUUCCCACCCGAGUGUCUCUCACGUUUCUCACGCCGGGACCAAUGCAGCUUCAGGAGGGCAAGGACUCAGUCUUCUCACUCACUCCUGCACCCUGAAACCUCUCACUCCUCAAGCCACGGGAACCUGCAGAGAAUAGGCGAGGGUGAAAUGAGGAGCCAACCAGUUCCUGGGUCAGACCUUGGGGCUGGGGGGAGGGGAGAGUGGGCGAGAAGGUGGGGGAAGGAGAGAGAGAAAGCCAGCCAGCGGCCCUCAUGGCAAUGCCCGUGGAUCUCAGGAGUCUUCGGAGACUCAUCCGUCAAUCACAACGAAUGGGCCCUUUUGAUUCGAACCUGUUUUAAAAAUUACACAUCAAUCCAGGAAAUGGAACAUUGGCUGGAUUCUGGUGAAAUUAAAGAAUUAUUCUCAUUG